rnacentral:rRNA from 1 species
UCCGUAGCCGGGUUGUUAAGUCUCCCGGGAAAUCCAACGGCUUAACCGUUGGGCGUUCGGGGGAUACUGGCAAUCUAGGGAUCGGGGGAGGUGAGAGGUACUCUAGGGGUAGGAGUGAAAUCCUGUAAUCCUUGGGGGACCACCUGUGGCGAAGGCGUCUCACCAGAACGACUCCGACGGUGAGGGACGAAAGCUGGGGGGAGCAAACCGGAUUAGAUACCCGGGUAGUCCCAGCUGUAAACGAUGCGCGUUAGGUGUAUCGGUGACUACGAGUUACCGAGGUGCCGAAGGGAAACCGUGAAACGUGCCGCCUGGGAAGUACGGUCGCAAGGCUGAA